CCUUCGGUAGCUCAGCGGUAGAGUGGGGAGCGCACUAUGACCCAUUUCUAUGGGCUAGUUUCGCCUUAGGUUGCCGGUUCGACUCCGGCCCGGAGGA